ACCAUUGUAAGGAAAAAUAAUUUUAUGGAAAUCAAAUUAUUUAUUUCCAUUAUUUUAUGUGCAAUCUUCACUUAUUGUAUUGCUUCAUAUGUGACGCAUAAUGAAAAUAAGAAGUACUUGAAUAGAUUGGUCCAAUUUUCACCCACUGAGAAAACAUGGAAAAAUAGCUGCUGCAAUCUGUAAAGAAUGCAAGAAAAUUAUUGGACCAGUCACUGAUAAAAAAUUGUAAGGUCACAGAACUGCCUGUCGAAGGACACGAAGAGAAGAUGAAGAAUUUGAACAUGUGAACGAAAACAAUGAUCAAAAUAUGAAUCAAGAAAACAUUGAAAGUUUCGUGGAUGUUUUAGAUGUCCAAAAACUGCUCAAUAAAAAAGUCGGGAAGUUUUUUUAUUCAUGUAACAUCCCAUUUAAUACCGCAGAAAGCCCUUACUUCCGAGAUACUAUUUGUUCCAUAGGUUUAUUAGCAAUAAAAUACGAAUUUGUUUAUACUUUAAAGGUAGACUUUAUGUGGGAGGUGACCUUAUAGAUAUAGUUCAUGAAUGUGUAGAAAAUGAAAAAAAACUAUUACUUCAAGGUACAUUUUGUGUUCUACUAGUAGACGCGUGGAAGAAUAAAAUUGUGAAUAAAAAGUUCUUAGUUUUUGUGCUUGUAAAUAUCCAUAAACAGUUCAUUUUUCUAAAAUGUUACGAUACAUCGUUAUAACCUGAAGAUGGUGAAACUUUAGCAGCGAAUAUUAAUAAAGCCGUUCGAAUCGCUAAAAAAAAAGUAUAAUGUAACUGUUUUUCUUAUCAUUACUGACGACGAUUCAAAAAUUGUUUGCGGAGGGAGACUAGCAAAAAACACCGAUGGAAACAGUCUUAUACAGUCAACAUAUACUAGCUACAGUGGAAAUUUAUUAAUAAGGACUUUAGUAACUUCAUCGGAAAUUACAACUGAACUUCAAGAAGUUGUACGUACUUCUCGUGAUACGAAACUAAAUACAUUAUUUUAAAAAUUUGGCUGUAAAUCUUUGCAAAAUUAUCCUGAUACGCGCUUUUGUGAUUUUCCAAAUAGGUGUAAAAGUGUACUUGACAACUUACCUUAUCUUAAAACUAUUUGUCAAAUAGAAGAUGUUCCUUUUCCCGAAAAUAUCCACGAAAAAAUUUUCGAUGAAGAUUUUGAAUAUCGACUAAGAGAGAUUGUUGCAAUCCUUGACCUUAUUUGUUAGUUGAUAAAUAAAUGUCAAAGCCCGAAAUACAAUAUUGCUGACAGCACUGAACAUUGGCUGUCGUUACGACUACUCGGUAAUAUACAUAUAGAUGAAAUUGACAAAAGAAUAUAAAAAGCAGUUUAUCCAGUUGGAUCUUGUGCUAAUUUACUUCAUCAUAAAUACAAGGGUGAAAAGUUGAGUGUGGAACAAACGGAGGUUGCAAUUAAAUUUUUCACAACUCAUGCUUCACCAGAAUGUUUGCAAGAGUACAACACAUUUUCGUCAACUCGUGGCGAAUAUAAAAAAAUUGAAGAAAAUUGUACAACCCCCAUCAGAUUUUGGGCAAUGUUAGAUAAUCAUUUACCAAGGCUAUCAGAUUUCGCAAUUAAAUUGAUGUACGUACCUGCGUCAACCGCACAACUUGGAGGUUUUUUCCCCCAGUGGACUUAUGUGCAUAACACCUAUCAAAAUCGAUUGUCUGAUACUAAAUCUGGUAUGUUGGUCGAAAUAUAUCUUUCUUUGAAGUUUAUGGAGAUCGAAGAUGAAAUAUUGUAACAUAUAAUAUAGCUGAGUAAAUAAGACACUUUUGCAAAAAAUUUAUAGACUAAAUUUAUUGGACGUAGCAUAAUGUUCAUUAAAAUUAAAUACAAAAUAAGUUAAAGAUAUCUCUCAGAAAGUUGUUCGAAUGUGUAACUCUUUGAUAUAAUUAAAGUUAUGGGACUUGCAUGUUGGUGGCCUUAGUGAGAAAGUUUGCAGUGACAGGUGUGAGAAUUUUCUACGGAGUUUGUGUGGAAGGUGUGAGUGGAGUGUGAGGGUGGAAGCCUACGAGGUGAGUACGACUUUAAGGGGUACAUUGGGAAGAUAAUUAAUUUACAUUGUAGCUGGGGGGUGAAAUUUGGCUAAGUAGGGAAAGUGCGGUUAGGUUUGCAAGGGAGCGGGGU